rnacentral:rRNA from 1 species
UACGUAGGGGGCAAGCGUUGUCCGGAAUCAUUGGGCGUAAAGAGCGCGUAGGCGGCCCGGUAAGUCCGCUGUGAAAGUCGGGGGCUCAACCCUCGAAUGCCGGUGGAUACUGUCGGGCUAGAGUGCGGAAGAGGCGAGUGGAAUUCCUGGUGUAGCGGUGAAAUGCGCAGAUAUCAGGAGGAACACCGAUUGCGAAGGCAGCUCGCUGGGACGUAACUGACGCUGAGACGCGAAAGCGUGGGGAGCAAACAGG